ACACUAAGCACAACCAUCAUAAUAAAAACACUCCAAUUCCCCAAGCUCUCUUUCUCUAGAAAUCAAUCAAAUAAUUCCAUUAAUUUUCCAACUUCGGAUUUUCUUUUAUUUUUUUCUGUUAUUGAUUAUGAUUUGGGUUUUUGAUUUUUCCUUCUUUUUUGUCCGUCUUUGCAGUGUUGAAAGAAAUGAAGCUUUAUAAAGGAAGUAUGCAAAAAAUGGGUUCUUCAUCAGUUGAAGAUAUUUCAGCAAUGCAGGUAAAUAAAAUCACCUUUAAAAUUGUGGGGUUUGCUUAAAAUCUCCGUUUCAUAUUAAUUAGAGCCUGUAAUUGUUUUUUUGGAUGUACAAGUAUGCUUUUCUUGAUGGGGUUAUGUUAUGGUGUUGUGGUUGUUUUGUUGGUAGUAAAUUGUGUUGGAGUUUCUUGCUGGUAAAAUGAUUUUCUAUGGAAAAAGGGUUGUUGCUGAUUCUCGAAAAGGACUUGUUCGCAUUGGAAGGGUAAACUGGUGUCUUUUGGUUUAUUUGUGUUAUAUAGAGUUUGUGCCUGUGUAAAGAUUUUUAGUUACUUUUGUUGUUUUCGUUUAUCUUAAGUACUAGAUAGUGUGUUUCUAGCAUCUUGUUUCCUGUUUGAAGUGGAAAUUUUUGAAUUGUUCCAGGGUGAUGAGGGUUUGCUUCAUUUCCAGUGGCUUGAUAGAAAUUUGAAUGUUGUGGAAGAUGUAUCCUAUUUAUUAUUAUGUUUUUGAGCCUGAGAUUUUGUUUCUCUCUUCCAACAUUGGUUUUUAUUUCUUUUUCUGUUUUUUGUUUUGUUAAAAUUCUUUUUGGUGAGAACUUGAUAGCUUUUUCUUGACGUCUUGAUUGAUAGGAUCGAAUUUUUUUUUUUAAGAGGCUGUUUUUGAGAAGGUACACUUUUUUUUCUUAGUUUUUCUUAGAUGGGAGAUCUUUGACUCUAAUAAUUGAUUGUAAUAUCAUAGAUUUCAUAAUUCUUUGGGUUAUUUAGGUUAAUCAAGCUUUGGGAAGAGUUUACAUCUUGAAAUUCAAUACAGAUGAUCAAAAGUUUUUCAUUUGGAUGCAGGUCAGGUUCAUUUUUUGUGUUUUUCACUCUCUUAUGUGUAACAUUGACUCAGCUGUUAGUUGCAUGAUUUUGAAAAAUUAUGUAACAUGUUUGCAGGAGCCAAAAUCUAAAGAUGAUUCACAAUUAUGUAACUCUGUCAACUAUUAUAUUAAUUGUACAUUUGGUAAAUACUUGUGUUUUUAGUCCUUUGUUAGUGUAACACCCUAAAAAAUUAUCAUUUUAUCCUUAAUGAGUCUUUUUGCUUUCAUUUAAUGGUUCUUAUUCUUUGAUAGUAUUACUGAACUUCGUUCAUCCUAAAAUUUUAACCAGAUUUUAUUUAAUAUAUUUUAAGGUUCCUUAUAAAAUUUCAGCUCAAUCUGAUGGUCGGAUUUAAAAUUACGUCCAAUAACGUAAAAGUAGUUAAAUUGUGAUUUUUCAUCAAAUUUCUGAAUUUCUCUAAAAAUUAUGAAAUUUUAACCCAAGCUAAGGAAUCAUAUUAGAAAGCUCCAUAAAAAUUUUCAGAAUUUUCUAAUAACCCGAUCGAGAGUUAUAAAUUUUUUUCUUUUUGUUUUACAAGAAACUAGUUAAUUUAUAAUUUUUCACCCGUUACUAUGCUACUCGUCAUUAUUUUGUUCCUAAUUAUCUUGACUUAUAUUUAAAUACAAAGUCUAAUCUUCUGCCCCUUCCUCCCCCGAUCUUUUAAAUGCAAAUAAUUUGGUGUAAUUGAUAAAUCACUUUUGCUAAUUUCACAUCAGAAAGUUGUAUAAUUGCUUUAUGGUCAUCUCUCUCAUAGAGGGUUUUUUUUUUGUUAUCUUGCAUCUGCAUUUAUCUCCUCCCAUCUCCAUAAUUUCAUAAAGAAAACCUCUAUUCACAUAAAGAUCAUAUUAGACUAAUUGGAUUUCCUGUUUCUACUUUCUGUUUAUUUAUUUAUUUAUUUUAGUUACACACUCCAUAUAUGUGAAUUGAUCUUCCUAAAAUUUUACUAACCAGUUUUACACCUUCAAACUAAUGACCUGGCUUAUAACUUCAGCACUCAUUCAAGAGUGAAGUUUUUCCAUCAGCAACGUUGCUGCUUUAUCUUGUUGUCUGGCAGAGUUCCUUGAUGAAAGAAGAGCCUGAUGCUUCUACUCCUUUCCAGGUUUUUGAAGACAUGCUUGAAGAUAAUAUCUCAUCAAUGUAUAUUUAUUAUAACAAAGAAGCAUACUCAAAGAUGAUACUUCAACUCUAAAAGUUGAUAUAGCAAGUAAGAGUAAGGAUAUAGAGCUAACUAAUUUUUUGUUCUUUGAGACUUAGAGUCAGUGGAGCAGAAUAAGCCUCCCUUCUCUCAUUCUGGUCAAUAAUCUUGGAGAUCCUAUGUUCCUGCCUUGAUCAAGACUCCUAUCUUAGUUAUUCAAGAAAUAUCAAGAAAUUUUUCAAAAUCAUUUCUUGACAGAAACAUCUCACCCACCUUAGCCCUUGUCAAAUCCUUCAUCCCCUUAUGCCCUGCUGUAAGAAAUCACAGGACCACCGACAGUUAAAAGGACGAAUCCACUCUUAGGAAUCGUUAAAUCCUAUAAAUGAUUGUUCUGAUAUAUUAUAGAAAUUUUUUGAAAUGUAAGAAUCAAUUAACUCUAUGUGGUGAAACAAAAUAUCUCUCAUUCCCCCCUCGAAUAAAGUCUUCUUUUUGGUUUUGAAAGGAAUGAUCUUAUGUUGGCUUGAACAGUGCGCUAAUCCUUUGAAUCCGGUACCAACGGGUAUCAUACCACCUAGAACGAAGUUUUCUUUCAGGUGUUUCAGCCAAUCGAUACGACUGCGGAGAGCAGCUUUUGCUAAAACACGAGCAGUUUCUUAAAAACUCGCUUCGGAUAUGAAACUUUGAGUGCUCAGAGAUGCUCUUGUUAUUCCCAGCACAGACUUGCCCUCGGGGUAAAUUCUAAAACUUGGGGCAUCUUUUAUAUGGAAAUUUAGAAUCAUAACUUGGUGUUUGUCUGUGUAUAUACAUAUUUAAUUCUUAUGAUUCUUUGUAAAAUAACUUCUAAAAGGUUAAGGAACACUUUUAUUACCUAAAAGAAAUGGCCCAGUAUAUAUUACAUGGCCAUUUUCUUUUAUUCUAAUGUGAUUGAUUUUUGCUCAUCACUCAGGACUGGAAACUUAGUUGUCCCAGACCUUGGUGCAGAUGUAAUGAAUGAUGUAACCUCUUCAUCAGGACCAAUGAAAUUGGAAGGCUUGUAAUAAAUCCUGAGUAAUAUUGGUGCUGGAGGAAUGUUCUGCUCAAAUAUUGCAAUUGACCAUAUCCUUGUUUGUUGCACUUAGGUUGGCCCGCGUGAUGUGAUGAUAUAUGUUGCAGGUAGUUCGGGUGAUCCAGAUGAAGGGGAUAUACUGAAGCUUCAUUUGAUAAUGCCAUUGAUUGAGACAUUGCCGCUUGAAGAAGGAUUAACAUCUCACUUACCAGAGGGUCACUGCACUCUAGAGGAUAUUUUAGACUUGUUGCAGAGUCCUCCUUUCCGUCAGUAAAUGGAUUUUUUUACUUAUGUAAGAAAUGCGAGGCUGAUUCUUCUUGUUCUGUUUCUUGUCCUUUUGAUGAUAGCCAAUUUUACAAGGCUUAACUCUUCUUUUUGUUUGAAGGUUCUCCGAACUGGAUAUAUAGAUUUGUCUCAAUUUAGGAUCAA